rnacentral:rRNA from 1 species
GACGGAGGAUGCAAGUGUUAUCCGGAAUCACUGGGCGUAAAGCGUCUGUAGGUGGUUUAAAAAGUCUACUGUUAAAAAUUGAAGCUUAACUUCAAAGAUGCCGUAGAAACUUUUAAACUCGAGGAUGGUAGGGGUAGAGGGAAUUUCCAGUGGAGCGGUGAAAUUCGUAGAUAUUGGGAAGAACACCGGUGGCGAAGGCGGCAACCUGGUCCUUGACUGACGCUGAGGCGCGAAAGCGUGGGGAGCAAACAGG